AAUCAACGCUGGCGGCGUGCCUAACACAUGCAAGUCGAACGCGAAAGCCCCUUCGGGGCGAAGUAGGGUGGCGUCCGGGUGAGUAACACGUGGGUAAUCUACCUCCGGGUGGGGAAUAACUCGCCGAAAGGCGGGCUAAUACCGCAUAAUGCAGCGGCACCGAAUGGUGAUUAGUUGUUAAAGCGGGGGACCUUAGGCCUCGCGUCUGGAGAGGAGCCUGCGGCAGAUUAGCUUGUUGGUAGGGUAANGGCCUACCAAGGCUGCGAUCUGUAGCUGGUCUGAGAGGACGGCCAGCCACACUGGCACUGACACACGGGCCAGACUCCUACGGGAGGCAGCAGUGGGGAAUUUUGGGCAAUGGGCGAAAGCCUGACCCAGCAACGCCGCGUGAAGG
rnacentral:rRNA from 1 species